rnacentral:lncRNA from 1 species
CGCACAGCUUCAGUGAGCAUUAUCAUAUCUUAGGAAAUAUUUAAAAGGUAUCUUUCCUCGUCAAUGUGUCGGUAUUUUGUAUUUAUCAUUUUGAUAUUGACCAUUACUAAGCUUGUGACAUUUGCUCGACUUUUUUAUAUUUAAAUUGCAUUAUGCGAGUGAAUUGAAUGUUGUACUCAUGAUUAGGAGAAUGGAAUAAUUAUUUCUGGGAUUAUAUAAUUGGAUACAGCCUAAAUUAUGUUUCAUUAAGUGUU